GGUCUGGGGUCCGGGGUGGUGCGGCGGCGAGACUGACUGGGAAGAUGUCAGUGGUGGUGAUGGUGGAAAGUGCCUUCCGUUUCAAAAAGUUGCUGGAUCAGUGCGAGAACCAGGAACUCGAGGCUCCUGGAGGAAUUGCUACACCCCCAGUGUAUGGUCAGCUUCUAGCUUUAUAUUUGCUCCAUAAUGACAUGAAUAAUGCAAGAUAUCUUUGGAAAAGAAUUCCACCUGCUAUAAAAUCUGCAAAUUCUGAACUUGGGGGAAUUUGGCCAGUAGGACAGAGAAUCCAGCAGAGAGAUUUCCCUGGGAUCUACACGACCAUCAGUGCUCACCAGUGGUCUGAGACAGUCCAGCCAAUCAUCGAAGCACUUAGAGAUGCGACAAGGAGAGGAGCCUUCGCCCUGUUCUCCCAAGCAUACACCUCAAUAGUAGCCGAUGACUUUGCAGCCUUCAUUGGACUUCCUGUAGAAGAGGCUGUGAAAGGUAUAUUAGAACAAGGAUGGCAAGCCGACUCCACCACAAGAAUUGUUCUGCCCAGAAAGCCAGUUGCAGGGGCCCUGGAUACUUCCUUUAAUAAGUUUACUCCGUUUCAGAGCCUACACCAGUUCCCCCAAUCCCUAAUGAACAGCAGUUAGCCAGACUGACCGAUUAUGUGGCUUUCCUUGAAAACUGAUUUAUCACCCUGAGUUCAAGAUCCACCUUCAGAAUUCUGCAUACUGACAAAUAUAGAAAUGUAAAAUGUUUAUUUUCAAUUUAUUAGAUGGAUUAAGCACUUCAGCAUUCCUUACUGAGUAUGAGAUAUGAUACAUAUAUAAGGUAUAUUAUAUGUGUUUUGUCCUAAAACAUUAUGCUGAAUAGUUGUUGAAACAAUGCUCAUUUUGUAAUAUUUAACGAUCUGGAUGGAGCCCAUCAGUGUUAUGGGGUUAGUUUAUAUUUUGUGGUGACUCAUAAAAUAAGAUCUCCUGUUUCAUGUAGAACAGUAGUUGUCAACUUUCUUUUCC